UUAACUGCUUGUGUUUAAAUUUUUUUCGUAGAUUAUACCUUAGUUCAAGUGGCUGGUACAACCGAGCAUGCUUUCAUUGAAACAACAAAAGAUAAUGUUUGUGUCAAAGUCUUUCCAAAUUGGAAGGAUGCAGAUAAAAGAUCAUCAACAGAGGAAUGUAUACAAAUAUCUAGCAAUAAAAGGGUGUUAGUAUCAGCUUUAUUAUCAGUUGGGGCUGUAUUCUGCUUUUUAGCUAUAUUUGGAUGUUGUAUGAUAGUGAGGAAAGUUAGAAGGACAAUAAAGACAAUAAAACGCCCAUUCAUAAUAGAAACACCACAUAUAAACAAUAAUUCAAAUCAAAAUACUGAGAGCUUAACUCAAAGAUACCGUAACCUUCCAUCUUCAACCGGAGAUUUUUGUCUGCUGUUGAAUAGAGAUUCAAGAAUUCAUUUACCAUCUGGGGAGUCUUCAUCUAGCGCACGUGGGGAUUCUGGUAUGGCGUCAUCAAGAGGAAAUUCCAAUCUGCUUCAAAACGCCGAUUCUGCGUUACCACUUUUGAAUACCUGACAGCGGAAUUAUGGAUUUCCUUUGUACUUAUUUCGCUGGACGGAAUGAUAUCCAAUGAUCCACGCAAUCUUCUUUGAUUGGAUCCUAUGCAGAAUUCGUUAUCAUCUGAGAGAUAUGGAAAUUGAAUGAUUUUCCAACAUUUCCUUAAAGAAUGUGUAAAGGUUCUCAAAGACGGACAACCGAUUACAAUAAACCGAAGGGUGUCUUUGGGAAAUGGCUGGUAGAAUUUAGAACCGAACAAGGUCACAAUGAACAAUGAAAAAUCAGAGCAACAAGGAAUAAGAGGCUGAUUCUUUAAUUUACAGUCGGCAUGAUUGAAAUUGAUUUACAUUUUGACUACUUUAAUGUCACUAUGCAUUUGUAUUUUUCCUGAUCUACUGUCAAAAUAUUGUGAGUCAAUACGGUGUAAUUAGUGUAAGACCUGUAAGCAUAUGCACAUUUAUCCUUUGCAAUAUUUACACUUACUUACAUGUAACUUUAAUUGCAGACAAUCAGUAUGGUAAUUUCCAACCAGCAUUGUACACACUGUUAAUUGACAAAUCAAGGAGAUAACCCCCAUCAUAAAUUCAACGAUUGUGAAUUCAUUUCCCUUUAAAGGUAUUUACCAAUGGCAAAUGAAAUACUUUUUAUUGAAACAAUGUAGAAACAUCGACUGAGAUUGAUAUAUUCAUCUAAAUUAUACCCUGAAGAACCUAAAGAAAACAUCCAACUGUCAAAUCUGAUACAUAACGGAUUAUCUAACGACGAUUCAGCACAAGAAUUAAAAAUAUAACUGUAUUGUGUUAUUUGAAAGAGAGAUAUUUUUUUUAAAGAUUAAGGUCGGGUUUCAACACAAGUGUUUCACACUCGAUAUUUUCUUUAUUUGUAUAUAGAAAUUUUGUUGUAAAGUAUUUGAAUUGAACAAUUUAUUUCACCUCCGUGUUCAUUAAAAAAAAGUUCAUUGACAAAUAUAUGCUCGUACUCAAUGUUUCACAUUUUA